rnacentral:rRNA from 1 species
AAUCAACGCUGGCGGCGUGCCUAACACAUGCAAGUCGAACGAGAAAGUGGAGCAAUCCAUGAGUAAAGUGGCGCACGGGUGAGUAACACGUGACUAACCUACCCUUGAGUGGGGAAUAACUUCGGGAAACCGAGGCUAAUACCGCAUAACACCUACGGGUCAAAGGAGCAAUUCGCUUAAGGAGGGGGUCGCGGCAGAUUAGUUAGUUGGCGGGGUAAUGGCCCACCAAGACGGUGAUCNGUAUCCGGCCUGAGAGGGCGCACGGACACACUGGAACUGAAACACGGUCCAGACUCCUACGGGAGGCAGCAGUGGGAAUUUUGCGCAAUGGGGGAAACCCUGACGCAGCAACGCCGCGUGGAGGAUGAAGUCCCUUGGGACGUAAACUCCUUUCGAUCGGGACGAUUAUGAC